rnacentral:rRNA from 1 species
GAUGAACGCUGGCGGCGUGCCUAACACAUGCAAGUCGAACGAACGGACGAGAAGCUUGCUUUUGGUAUGUUAGCGACGGACGGGUGAGUAAUACGUACAUAACCGGCCGUUAAGACUGGGAUAACUUAGGGAAACCGGAUCUAAUACAGGAUAAGAUUUUGAACCGCAUGGUUCUUAGGUGAAAGACGGUUCUGCUGUCACUUUGACAUGGAUCCGAGUUGGAUUAGUUAGUUGGUAAGGUAACGGCCUACCAAGGCAACGCUGCAUAGCCGACCUGAGAGGGCGAUCGGCCACACUGGAACUGAGACACGGUCCAGACUCCUACGGGAGGCAGCAGUAGGGAAUCUUCGGCAAUGGGCGAAAGCCUGACGCAGCCACGCCGCGUGAGUGAUGAAGGCCUUCGGAUCGUAAAACUCUUUUAUUAGGGAAGAACAUAUGUGUGAGUAAAUGUGGAGAUCUUGACGGUACCUUAUGAGAAAGCACCGGCUAACUACGUG